rnacentral:rRNA from 1 species
UUGCUUCUCUUGAGAGCGGCGGACGGGUGAGUAAUGCCUAGGAAUCUGCCUAGUGGUGGGGGAUAACGUUCGGAAACGGACGCUAAUACCGCAUACGUCCUACGGGAGAAAGCGGGGGACCUUCGGGCCUCGCGCCAUUAGAUGAGCCUAGGUCGGAUUAGCUAGUUGGUGAGGUAAAGGCUCACCAAGGCGACGAUCCGUAACUGGUCUGAGAGGAUGAUCAGUCACACUGGAACUGAGACACGGUCCAGACUCCUACGGGAGGCAGCAGUGGGGAAUAUUGGACAAUGGGCGAAAGCCUGAUCCAGCCAUGCCGCGUGUGUGAAGAAGGUCUUCGGAUUGUAAAGCACUUUAAGUUGGGAGGAAGGGUAGUAACUUAAUACGUUGCUACUUUGACGUUACCGACAGAAUAAGCACCGGCUAACUUCGUGCCAGCAGCCGCGGUAAUACGAAGGGUGCAAGCGUUAAUCGGAAUUACUGGGCGUAAAGCGCGCGUAGGUGGUUCAGUAAGUUGGAAGUGAAAUCCCCGGGCUCAACCUGGGAACUGCUUUCAAAACUGCUGAGCUAGAGUACGGUAGAGGGUGGUGGAAUUUCCUGUGUAGCGGUGAAAUGCGUAGAUAUAGGAAGGAACACCAGUGGCGAAGGCGACCACCUGGACUGAUACUGACACUGAGGUGCGAAAGCGUGGGGAGCAAACAGGAUUAGAUACCCUGGUAGUCCACGCCGUAAACGAUGUCAACUAGCCGUUGGGAGUCUUGAACUCUUAGUGGCGCAGCUAACGCAUUAAGUUGACCGCCU